GUAGCGAACUGAUUAGAAGCUUGCUUCUAUGACGUUAGCGGCGGACGGGUGAGUAACACGUGGGCAACCUGCCUGUAAGACUGGGAUAACUUCGGGAAACCGAAGCUAAUACCGGAUAGGAUCUUCUCCUUCAUGGGAGAUGAUUGAAAGAUGGUUUCGGCUAUCACUUACAGAUGGGCCCGCGGUGCAUUAUCUAUUUGGUGAGGUAACGGCUCACCAAGGCAACGAUGCAUAGCCGACCUGAGAGGGUGAUCGGCCACACUGGGACUGAGACACGGCCCAGACUCCUACGGGAGGCAGCAGU
rnacentral:rRNA from 1 species